GACGAACGCUGGCGGUGUGCUUAACACAUGCAAGUCGAACGGUAAGGCCCUUUCGGGGGUCCACGAGUGGCGAACGGGUGAGUAACACGUGAGUAACCUGCCCUCAUCUCUGGGAUAACAGUCGGAAACGGUUGCUAAUACUGGAUAUGAGCUUGCAAGGCAUCUUGUGGGUUGGAAAGAUUUUUUUUGGUUGGGGAUGGACUCGCGGCGUAUCAGCUUGUUGGUGAGGUAGUGGCUCACCAAGGCUUCGGCGGGUAGCCGGCCUGAGAGGGCGACCGGCCACAUUGGGACUGAGAUACGGCCCAAACUCCUACGGGAGGCAGCAGUGGGGAAUAUUGCACAAUGGACGGAAGUCUGAUGCAGCAACGCCGCGUGCGGGAUGACGGCCUUCGGGUUGUAAACCGCUUUCAAUUGUGACGAAGCUUUUUUGUGACGGUAGCAGUAGAAGAAGCACCGGCUAACUACGUG
rnacentral:rRNA from 1 species